ensembl:rRNA 5S_rRNA 5S ribosomal RNA
GUCUACGGCCAUACCACCCUGAACGCGCCCAAUCUUGUCUGAUCUCGGAAGCUAAGCAGGGUCGGGCCUGGUUAGUACUUGGAUGGGAGAUAUCACUCCUAAAAUUCAUCUGGAACCAAAGGGACUUAGAAU